rnacentral:tRNA from 1 species
AGCAGCGUGGCUCAGUGGAAAGAGCACGGGCUUGGGAGUCAGAGGUCAUGGGUUCGAAUCCCAGCUCUGCUA